AUCCGGAAUUACUGGGCGUAAAGCGUGCGCAGGCGGUUCGUUGUGUCGGCGGUGAAAGCCCCGGGCUCAACCUGGGAAUGGCCGUUGAAACUGGCGAACUGGAGUGUGGCAGAGGGGGGUGGAAUUCCGCGUGUAGCAGUGAAAUGCGUAGAGAUGCGGAGGAACACCGAUGGCGAAGGCAGCCCCCUGGGCUGACACUGACGCUCAGGCACGAAAGCGUGGGGAGCAAACAGG
rnacentral:rRNA from 1 species